AUUGAACGCUGGCGGCAUGCCUUACACAUGCAAGUCGAACGGUAACAGGUUAAGCUGACGAGUGGCGAACGGGUGAGUAAUGUAUCGGAACGAGCACAGUCGUGGGGGAUAACUGCUCGAAAGAGCAGCUAAUACCGCAUACGACCUGAGGGUGAAAGCGGGGGAUCGCAAGACCUCGCGCGAUUGGAGCGGCCGAUAUCAGAUUAGGUAGUUCGUGAGGUAAAGGCCUACCAAGCCUACGAUCUGUAGCUGGUCUGAGAGAACGACCAGCCCAACUGAGACUGAGACCAGGGCCAGACUCCUACGGUAGUCAGCAGUGGGGAAUUUUGGACAAUGUACGCAAGUCUGAUCCAGCCAUACCGCGUGCGGGAAGAAGGCCUUCAGGUUGUAAACCGCUUUUGUCAGGGAAGAAAAGGUUCUGGUUAAUACCUGGGACUCAUGACGGUACCUGAAGAAUAAGCACCGGUUAACUACGUGCCAGCCGCCGCAGUAACAC
rnacentral:rRNA from 1 species